ACAGCACUGCAGGGAAGUGGGUCAGUGUGGCGGCCUCUGUUCACCACCCAUGUGGGUGAGAGCCUUCCAGGGAUGGAACCUGGCCUUGAACCUGAGGGCAGCAGUACAUCGAGCCUUGAUUUCCUCAUUCUCGGAGGGGGUAUGGGCAAGAACAAAGCCAGCUGCUGUACUCGAGAGUGUGGUCCAGCAGUGAGAGCUGUUAUCUCAAGCUGGGAGUGAUGGCAUAUGCCUGUAAUUCCAGGCCAUGGAAAGCUGAGGCAGGAGGAUUUCCAUGAGUAUAAGCCCAACCUGGCUACAUGCGACACCAGAUCCCGCUCGCCCUGUAACCUAAGGCCAGUUGGUCAGUCACCAGAUUUCCUGUGCAGCAUGCUACUGCAAAGACGCUCUUGGGCCCUGGACUAUCCUGCUCCAGGGGGAAGUUUAGUGCCCAUGGUAUGCAUGGAUGGAGAAUGUGUUUUAAUCCAAACUUCCGAAAUAAAAUCUGCGCUGAAACUUAGCUCCCGGCCUCUAACUAGAACGAACAAGGCUACACACGCCUGCGCAGAAUCACAGAACCCUGCCUCGCAGUCCCGCAAUUAGAGGCGCUUUGUCCACGAUGCGUUUAAAGGUCUGCUUCUGCUGUCCAAGGCAGUCCGAGCUCUUUAAUCUCACAGAGUAAACAGGACUGCCUUUAAGGGGGUUUUGUGUGUAUGUUUUUCUUCUGUUUUAAA